rnacentral:rRNA from 1 species
CUGAAUAACUGAGCAAAUUGCUUCGGUCUUGCACCGGCAAUGUAUCUUUCAAGUGUCUGCCUUAUCAACUUUCGAUGGUAGUUUAUGCGCCUACCAUGGUUGUAACGGGUAACGGAGAAUUAGGGUUCGACUCCGGAGAGGGAGCCUGAGAAACGGCUACCACUUCUAAGGAAGGCAGCAGGCGCGCAAAUUACCCACUCUCGGCACGAGGAGGUAGUGACGAAAAAUAACGAGACGGGUCUCUUCUGAGAGCCGUCAUCGGAAUGAGAACAACAUAAAUCCUUUAACGAGGACCUAGCGGAGGGCAAGUCUGGUGCCAGCAGCCGCGGUAAUUCCAGCUCCGCCAGUGUAUAUCUAUGCUGCUGCGGUUAAAAAG